GAAAUUUUACUAAAUAAUUGUUCUCAUAUUAGUUGAAUUCAUUCAAAAAGUGAAAUUUAAGGAGCAAAAGGGAAGGGAUGCAUCUUUUUUCAGAUAAUUCAAUAUUUGAUCCUUCAAAUUACUAAUGCAAAUUAAAUUUUGAAUCACAACAGCAUAAAUGGCUAACACAUUUAGCAUAAAGAAUGUAUUAAGAAUUUAAAACAUCAAACAUACUUCUUCACGAACAGGAGUCAGUC
rnacentral:misc_RNA from 1 species